UACGUAGGGUGCGAGCGUUAAUCGGAAUUACUGGGCGUAAAGCGUGCGCAGGCGGUUCGUGAAGUCCGAUGUGAAAGCCCUGGGCUUAACCUAGGAAUGGCAUUGGAAACUGGCGGGCUAGAGUUUGGCAGAGGGGGGUGGAAUUCCUGGUGUAGCAGUGAAAUGCGUAGAGAUCAGGAGGAACACCGAUGGCGAAGGCAGCCCCCUGGGCUAGAACUGACGCUCAGGCACGAAAGCGUGGGGAGCAAACAGGAUUAGAAACCCCAGUAGUCC
rnacentral:rRNA from 1 species